ACAAAACCUCUAGUCUUAUUAUUACAUUUUAUUAUUUACUGUGCAAAACUGUAAUUGGAUUUUUUCUUCAGAUUCCGGUUUUCCAGUUGAACGAGAAACAAUGUUUAUUGUUUAUGAUUACCUAUCAUCUUAUAAUCUGUACUCUGAGGAAGCUUGCGAAGUUUUUGCGUAAAGUUCAUGUUUCACGUAUUACCAUGUCUAAGUAAGCAAUAAUGGUUAAAAAUACUAGACAAGGACAGGAAAGGCAUUCGUUGUUCCAGGUCGGUCAAAUUAUCUUAGUAGAUUAACCGCUCAUUCGGUUUAGAAUUGAAAUAACUAAACUUACAUAUAACGUAAUAACUUUUAUGUAAAUUAUGUUAAGACUUACGAUUAUCCAAAAUAAUGACCAUGAGUCAUCAUAAAUAAAAAAGAAACUCGAGUCACUGAUUUGCACGCUUGGUGGUUUUUUUUACAAAGUUAACAUACUUGGCUUUUGGGGUGCUUCGCGCCCAUCUUCUAUUUCAAUU